rnacentral:rRNA from 1 species
UACGUAGGGGGCAAGCGUUGUCCGGAAUUAUUGGGCGUAAAGCGCGCGCAGGCGGUCAUUUAAGUCUGGUGUUUAAGCCCGGGGCUCAACCCCGGUUCGCAUCGGAAACUGGAUGACUUGAGUGUAGGAGAGGAAAGUGGAAUUCCACGUGUAGCGGUGAAAUGCGUAGAGAUGUGGAGGAACACCAGUGGCGAAGGCGGGUCUCUGGGCAGUAACUGACGCUGAGGAGCGAAAGCGUGGGGAGCGAACAGG